rnacentral:snRNA from 1 species
AUACUUACCUGGCAGGGGAGACAACAUGAUCAGGCAGAUGGUUUUCCCAGGGCAAGGGUCUUCCCCUGCACUCUGGGUGUGCUGAUCUCUGUGAUUUCCCCAAAUGCAGGAAACUCGGCUGCAUAAUUUGUGGUAGUUGGGGACUGCAUUCGUGCUCUCCCCUG